GACGAACGCUGGCGGCGUGCUUAACACAUGCAAGUCGAACGGAAAGGCCCUGCUCUUGUGCGUUGCUCGAGUGGCGAACGGGUGAGUAACACGUGAGUAACCUGCCCUUGACUUUCGGAUAACUUCAGGAGACUGGGGCUAAUACCGGGUAUGAGCUCCUGCUCCAUGGUGGGCGUUGGAAAGUUCCGGCGGUGGGGGCUGGACUCGCGGCUUAUCAGCUUGUUGGUGGGGUAGUUGCUUACCAAGGCUUCGACUGGUAGGCGGCCUGAGAGGUUUACCGGGCACAUUGGGACUGAGAGACGGCGCAGACGCCUACGGGAGGCAGCAGUGGGGAAUAUUGCACAAUGGGCGGGAGUCUGAUGCAGCAACGCCGCGUGCGGGAUGCCGGCCUUCGGGUUGUAAACCGCUUUCGCCUGUGACGAAGCGUGAGUGACGGUAAUGGGUAAAGAAGCACCGGCUAACUACGUG
rnacentral:rRNA from 1 species